rnacentral:rRNA from 1 species
GAUGAACGCUGGCGGCGUGCCUAAUACAUGCAAGUCGAGCGAACAGACGAGGAGCUUGCUCCUCUGACGUUAGCGGCGGACGGGUGAGUAACACGUGGAUAACCUACCUAUAAGAUUGGGAUAACUUCGGGAAACCGGAGCUAAUACCGGAUAAUAUAUUGAACCGCAUGGUUCAAUAGUGAAAGACGGUUUUGCUGUCACUUAUAGAUGGAUCCGCGCCGCAUUAGCUAGUUGGUAAGGUAACGGCUUACCAAGGCGACGAUGCGUAGCGGACCUGAGAGGGGGAUCGGCCACACUGGAACUGAGACACGGUCCAGACUCCUACGGGAGGGAGCAGUAGGGAAUGUUCCGCAAUGGGCGAAAGCCUGACGGAGCAACGGCGCGUGAGUGAUGAAGGUCUUCGGAUCGUAAAACGCUGUUAUUAGGGAAGAACAAAUGUGUAAGUAACUAAGCACGUCUUGACGGUACCUAAUCAGAAAGCCACGGCUAACUACGUG